rnacentral:rRNA from 1 species
AGUCGAGCGAACCCGCAAGGGUGAGCGGCGAAAGGGUCAGUAACACGAUCGAACGUCCCCCGAGGUGGAGGAUAGCGGCGGGAAACUGCCGGUAAUACUCCAUGAUCUCUCCGGAGCAAAGGUUUACCGCCUUGGGAUCGGCGAUCGUCCUAUCAGCUUGUUGGCGGGGUAACGGCCCACCAAGGCGAUGACGGGUAGCAGGUGUGAGAGCACGACCUGCGACAUCGGAACUGAGACACUGUCCGGACUCCUACGGGAGGCUGCAGCGACGAAUCUUCCGCAAUGGGCGCAAGCCUGACGGAGCGACGCCGCGUGUGGGAUGAAGCGCCUUCGGCGUGUAAACCACUGUCAGGGGGCAGAACCAAUGAUCGCCCCCAGAGGAAGAGACGGCUAACCCUGUGCCAGCAGCCGCGGUAAGACAGGGGUCUCGAGCGUUAAUCGGAAUUACUGGGCUUAAAGGGUGCGUAGGCGGGCCAGCAAGUGCUUUGUGAAAUCCCCCGGCUCAACCGGGGAACUGCGGGGCAUACUGCUGGUCUUGAGGAAGGUAGGCGCCGAGGGAACAGUAGGUGGAGCGGUGAAAUGCGUAGAUAUCUACUGGAACGCCGAUGGUGAAGACGCUCGGCUGGGCCUUUCCUGACGCUGAGGCACGAAAGCGUGGGGAGCAAACAGGAUUAGAUACCCUGGUAGUCCACGCCGUAAACGAUGCGCGCUAGAUCGGUGCGGGUCUGACCCCGGAUCGGUCGAAGUAAAAACGAUAAGCGCGCCGCCUGGGGAGUACGGUCGCAAGGCUAAAACUCAAAGAAAUUGA